rnacentral:rRNA from 1 species
AUUGAACGCUGGCGGCAGGCCUAACACAUGCAAGUCGAGCGGAGCGGCGGACGGGUGAGUAAUGCCUAAGAAUCUGACUGGUCGUGGGGGUUACCGUCCGGAAACGGGCGCUAAUAACGCAUACUAUCAUAUGGGCCUAGGUGGGAUGAGCUAGUUGGUGGGGUAAGGGCCUACCAAGGCGACGAUCCGUAACGGGUGUGAGAGGAUGAUCAGUCACACUGGAACUGAGACACGGUCCAGACUCCUACGGGAGGCAGCAGUGGGGAAUAUUGGACAAUGGGCGAAAGCCUGAUCCAGCCAUGCCGCGUGUGUGAAGAAGGUCUUCGGAUUGUAAAGCACUUUAAGUUGGGAGGCGUUACCAACAGAAUAAGCACCGGCUAACUUCGUGCCAGCAGCCGCGGUAAUAC